rnacentral:rRNA from 1 species
GAUGAACGCUGGCGGCGUGCCUAAUACAUGCAAGUCGAGCGAACGGACGAGAAGCUUGCUUCUCUGAUGUUAGCGGCGGACGGGUGAGUAGCACGUGGAUAACCUACCUAUAAGACUGGGAUAACUUCGGGAAACCGGAGCUAAUACCGGAUAAUAUUUUGAACCGCAUGGUUCAAAAGUGAAAGACGGUCUUGCUGUCACUUAUAGAUGGAUCCGCGCUGCAUUAGCUAGUUGGUAAGGUAACGGCUUACCAAGGCAACGAUGCAUAGCCGACCUGAGAGGGUGAUCGGCCACACUGGAACUGAGACACGGUCCAGACUCCUACGGGAGGCAGCAGUAGGGAAUCUUCCGCAAUGGGCGAAAGCAUGACGGAGCAACGCCGCGUGAGUGAUGAAGGUCUUCGGAUCGUAAAACUCUGUUAUUAGGGAAGAACAUAUGUGUAAGUAACUGUGCACAUCUUGACGGUACCUAAUCAGAAAGCCACGGCUAACUACGUG